UAAUAUGAUUAAUAUCAAUUUGUUUUAAAUUAUAUAUAAAAAUUAUCAAGAGUAUCAUUAACUUUAACCACUCUAAUUUUUAACGUGAGAGCUCUGUUGUGAAAAUUUACUUCACAAAUAAUAGUAUAGAUAAAUACGAAAAAAAGUUUCCCACCGUUAGAUUUCAGAUAUUGUUUUCGUGUGCCAAAAAAACGUUUUAAAAGCCAUUUUUUAAUCCAUCUAGAAAUCAUUGCGGCAUGGUAGCAACUUACGUUUAGAUUUAAAAUUUACAGAUUUCCACGCAUGGCCAGCAAAAAGAAAUUGUACUAAAUAGAAAAUAAUUAAUUAACAAAAAUAAUAAUUUUGAGAAACAAAAAAAAUAACACAAUGUACAGUAGAUAUGUUUAAGCAAACCAAUUCAUACUUUAUUGAAAUAGUAUAUAACCCAUAAUAUAAACCAUCAAAAUGAAAUUUAAUCAGGCACAACCAGAAAAUGUAACCAGAAAUAUAACUAUCUAAAUCAAAAUAAAAAUCAAGAAUUUCAUAUCCUUAUCAUGAUCCAUGAGUUUGAAUUAAACUCAUAAUUUUAUCGGAUUUCUAACAUUGUUAUUUAAACUAAACCAAAUUAGACUAGGAAUUUUAUUGAAUUUUUAACAUUACUAUUUAAACCAGCCCAAAAUAACAAAACUCAAACCACAUCCCAAUUCAUUAAUAACCUAGCUAUUAAUAUACUUCAUGAACUAAAAACCAAAAUUCACAACUGAAUCGGAACAAAAACAAAAUCAGUGAAUACAAUCUUGAUGUGAACCGAAAUUUAUAAAAUAUUAUCGAUUAUAAAAUCUGUAGUUUAAAAACGUAAAUCAUAAAUAAUUCAUUGUGCGAGUCAGAAUCUGGGAUUUAUUAUAGAGUUAUUUUCAUUCUAAGACACUUUAUGUCUUUUUAUUACAUUCUAAGACACUUAUUACUACGGAGGUAGUUUUUAGUGGUUAUUGACCCUCUUGCCCUCAACUAAGCGAAACUAGAUGAUGACUUUCGGUUUACUUUUUUUUUUCAGUUAGAAUAAUUUGAAUUUUGAAUUUGUUUAAAAUGGUGAAACCAAAACAAUAAUAAAUUUUUUAAUUUUCACGACAUUUUUUUUAACUACAAAUUCUUAUCUUCUUAUCACAAUUACCAAGACAAAGAAUGUAAACGCAGUUAUCGGCCGGAAACAAAAGUACGACGACGGAGACGUUGUUUGAUAAUAACAUCUCGUCUACUUGAUUCCUCUCUCGUCUACGCCAUAGCUCCUCCACGCCAAGCUCUAUGGUCUUCAAUUCUUGGUUCCACCUGUUGUAUACACCACAGCUCCUACUCGCCGUGCUAUCUGACCCUCCUCCGUGACCUGCUUCUCACCGCCGACUCACGUCUGCGCCAAUCUGCCAUGGCAAACUUCUCCACCAUGGGAUCUCCUAGUCGCUGCCUCAUCCGCCGUACAAGCAAUACCUCCACGUCGUUCCACCGCGCCCAGCUCCACCGCCGUUGCCAUCCAGAGUCGUCGUCACUCGGGUUCUCUGGAUCGAGAGCUCAGCGACAAUGGAUAAUUUUCUCAUAAUUUAACCAAUCAAAAGGUGCUUGUAAAGUUCAUGGAAAAUGCAGAUUGUUUUGAGUCCAGCUCAUGAUUGGUUAUCAGCUAAACGUUGUUGAUAGUAGUGGAAUCACUCUUAGCACUGUUCAAGAGGAGGUGAAGUUAAUGUGCCUCAAGUUCUAUGUAUAGCAAUAACUACUGCAAUUUCAAUACUUUUCUUUUUGAAUUAGUUGUGUACACUAUUUGCAAUUUUGAUACAUUUGAUAUUUCAGAAAGCAUCAUUAUUUUUGUAUGACACGUUUUCUUAGUCAAUAUCAAUUUACAUAUGAAUAAAUUA